GGUCAACUCCACCGUGUUCUUAGAAAUUGCCAUCGACAGUGAGCCCUUGGGCCGCAUCUCCAUCAAGCUGUUUGCAGACAAGAUUCCAAAGACAGCAGAAAACUUCUGUGCUCUGAGCACUGGAGAGAAAGGAUUUGGGUAUAAGGGUUCCUGCUUUCACACAAUUAUUCCAGGGUUUAUGUGUCAGGGUGGUGACUUCACACGCCAUAAUGGCACUGGUCCAUCUAUGGGGAGAAAUUUGAUGACGAGAACUUCAUCCUGAAGCAUAAAGGUCCUGGCAUCUUGUCCAUAGCAAACGCUGGACCCAACACAGAUGGUUCCCAGUUUUUCAUCUGCACUGCCAAGACUGAGUGGUUGGAUGGCAACCAUGUAGUCUAUGGCAAGGUGAAAGAAGGCAUGAAUAUUGUGGAGGCCAUGGAGCACUUUGGGUCCAGGAAUGGCAAGACCAGCAAGAUCACCAUCGCUGACUGUGGACAACUCUAA
rnacentral:lncRNA from 1 species